rnacentral:rRNA from 1 species
GACGAACGCUGGCGGCGUGCUUAACACAUGCAAGUCGAACGAAGUGGCGAACGGGUGAGUAACGCGUAAUCAACCUGCCCUUCAGAGGGGGACAACAGUUGGAAACGACUGCUAAUACCGCAUACUGAAGGAGGGGAUGGCGUCGGAUUAGCUGGUUGGAGGGGUAACGGCCCACCAAGGCGAUGAUAAGCAGCCGGGCUGAGAGGGGUAACCGCCACCUUUGGAACUGGACACGGCCCAGACUCCUACGGGAGGCAGCAGUGGGGAAUCAUCCGCAAUGGACGAAAGUCUGACGGAGCAACGCCGCGUGAGUGAUGACGGCCUUCGGGUUGGAAAGCUCUGUUAAGCGGGACGCGGUACCGGAAUAGAAAGCCACGGCUAACUACGUGCCAGCAGCCGCGGUAAUUC